GGAGAGAUGGCUCAGUGGUUAAGAGCACUGACUGCUCUUCCAGAGGUCGUCCUGAGUUCAAUUCCCAGCAACCACA
rnacentral:tRNA from 1 species